rnacentral:rRNA from 1 species
CAUGCAAGUCGAACGAUGAACCGCUUUCGGGCGGGGAUUAGUGGCGAACGGGUGAGUAACACGUGGGCAAUCUGCCCUGCACUCUGGGACAAGCCCUGGAAACGGGGUCUAAUACCGGAUAUGACUGUCCAUCGCAUGGUGGAUGGUGUAAAGCUCCGGCGGUGCAGGAUGAGCCCGCGGCCUAUCAGCUUGUUGGUGAGGUAGUGGCUCACCAAGGCGACGACGGGUAGCCGGCCUGAGAGGGCGACCGGCCACACUGGGACUGAGACACGGCCCAGACUCCUACGGGAGGCAGCAGUGGGGAAUAUUGCACAAUGGGCGAAAGCCUGAUGCAGCGACGCCGCGUGAGGGAUGACGGCCUUCGGGUUGUAAACCUCUUUCAGCAGGGAAGAAGCGAAAGUGACGGUACCUGCAGAAGAAGCGCCGGCUAACUACGUGCCAGCAGCCGCGGUAAUACGUAGGGCGCAAGCGUUGUCCGGAAUUAUUGGGCGUAAAGAGCUCGUAGGCGGCUUGUCACGUCGGUUGUGAAAGCCCGGGGCUUAACCCCGGGUCUGCAGUCGAUACGGGCAGGCUAGAGUUCGGUAGGGGAGAUCGGAAUUCCUGGUGUAGCGGUGAAAUGCGCAGAUAUCAGGAGGAACACCGGUGGCGAAGGCGGAUCUCUGGGCCGAUACUGACGCUGAGGAGCGAAAGCGUGGGGAGCGAACAGGAUUAGAUACCCUGGUAGUCCACGCCGUAAACGGUGGGCACUAGGUGUGGGCAACAUUCCACGUUGUCCGUGCCGCAGCUAACGCAUUAAGUGCCCCGCCUGGGGAGUACGGCCGCAA